UGGACGCAAGAAGCAGCACCGGUCAAACCACUACUGACCAUCUUGUGAGGAGGUGCCAACUUAGCAGACUGUCAAGACCCACCCCCCAUCCCCACAUCCCCCAUGAAAAGAGCUUGAAGACCAUCUGAGACAAGCCCGCUUUCCUGAGCGCCCUGGGUCCCGGGUCUCGGCUGCCUGCCUGCCGGUCAGUGGGAACCGCUGAUCCCCCCUCUCAGCUCCCACAAGCGACGCCAGAAGUAGCCUGCGCCGGACAGACUGGGACCUCGCCAUCGGCACAUAGUGGAUGCUAACUGGAUCUAACGGGUCUUUUGCUUGCUGAAAUCAAGUCCAGGGGUCCAGGUUCCCCGCGAGACUGUACAGGAAGAUGGAUGAACGGAUGGAUGGAUGUAUUAAGAAACAUCCCAACAAAUUGCCUUCUAACUGCCUGUUAAAUUUUCUUCUCUUCGGCACUCCUUCAGUGUUCGACUUCAGCAAAAAACGUAUCUUGAAAUACCAUUUUUUAACGAAGGCGCGUUUUUAUCCAGGAUUCUCUUAAGAUUUAUAAUGAGGACUAUUAAUAUAAACGAAAAGUUUAAAACCGGUUAUAAAAGAGAAACAUUAUUUCUUGACGGAGUCAAUAUUAUUGGUACAUGGUCCUUCUGGGAAACAAUGUUUUCCUACAGGAGUACCGAUUUGGACUCCAAAUCACUGACCGUUUUGAGUGGUUAGUCACGUGGCAAUUAAAACACAAUUCUUAAAAUUCCAUGAGGAUCAGUGCCGUGCUUAAGGGUUUUGGCUUGGCUCCCUUUCAGCUGCGAUGCCAUCUGUACACCACUAGGGGGAAGUAUUUAGGAGCUACAUAACGAUGGUAUAUAAACACCUUUUGUAUCCUCUCGCCGCGUGCCCAUUACUACCGGGAUAGGCUCCGGACCCCCCACGACCCAGUAGGAUAAGCGGUUUAGAUAAUGGAUGGAUGGAUGUAUCCUCUCAGGUGAGACUGAAAACUAAUGUAGGUCGCGAAUUCAAAUAGAGUUUGACCGAGGAAGUACGGAAAUACUGGCAUUUACAUGAUUCCAAGUUAUGGGAUUAUAAAGAUUCUCAGGUGACUGCAAACUAAAUUAAAAUACUGUAUUACCGGUGAGAUCUGCACAUCCCGGCAAACUUGCGGGCGUGUAUAUAUUGUCGAUGCUCUUAUUGUAAAUACUCUUGUUGUACUUCCCGAUUGUAGCGUGUAUGUUGGCCCGUGUCCUAUGUGCACCCUGCCCAAUCCUCGCGUGUCUUUAGCAUCGUGUAAAUUACCCAGUGUGUGUGUACCUGAUGGUCCACCAUCUGACCUCCCAGUGUUUCCAUGCUAUGUAGAGUUUGGUGUGCUGUGGCGGUCUGUGUUAGGGCCUGUUCAGAAAUUAAUAAGGGAGUCCCCCCCCCCUUUUUAAAAACAAAACAAAAACAAAAACAAAUCGCUUUGGCGUUUUCAGUAGCCCCUGCAUUGUCUUUAUGUGCUGGGCAUAACAACGGCAUUAUAAAGUGAGAAGCUCGAACCAGCCUUACUAGCAGAAUUGAAGAAAGCAUUCUUGGAUGUACUUCUGGCAUUCCGGGCCAGCCUGGAAGACCUGCAGGCAGCAGUGGUACAGUACAUCUCACGUGAAGACAGCGAGGGAUGUGAAGAUUGUCUGCUGGUGCUGCGGGAGGAACGUGCACAGGACGCAUUAUUGCCCAGAAACCUGCAUCAGAGCUUCCAGCAAACAGGCAGAGAACCACGGAGCCAAGAAGGUGCCGCUCCAUUCUGUGGGGGAGCCUUGGAUCCGUGCAGCGCAUCCUGGAGCCGCCCCUGCCUGCCCACCAGACCCCCGUCCUGCCCCAUUGCACCCUGAAGCUCUUCCCAUCGGCCCACUGGACGCAUGUCGGAGACAGUGAUGUCAUCAAGUGAGGAAGGUCAGCUCUUGGGCAGCCUCUGGCUGGCAUUCUGAGGCCAGGAGGCAGUGCCGCUCGGCCAGGAGGAGCC